GUCUUUAGCACAGCAGUAGGAAUGGUGGUACUGUGCAGAAGGGAGCAAAGUAUGGACAGAUUCUGGAGAACUGCUAGGUAUUUCCUGAAAUACCUAUUUAAAUAAUUGUUCCUAAGCAACGAAGAGUAGAAAGCAGCUGUCAACUCCUUGAGAUUUGGCUUUGCUCAAGCAGGAGUCUUGGUGACCAAUUCAACAGCAUUAAAGGAGGGCAGGCUGCUCCUAUGUGGAUAUGAGAGUGAAACUACAUUGGGAUCCUGAAGUAAUAUAGCUCUGUUAGUUAUCUAGUGAUGCUUAUUGGCUUGGGCACAAUGCCAUGCUGGUGCAGCUGUGUGGUUUCCUAUUACAGGGCUUAGAUCACUUGGCUUGCUACCUGGGGAGUCUGGUACACUCAUGUAGAUCUUAAGUGCUGCUUAAAAUACAUAAGAGGAAAAGAACACUCAAUUCUCCCAGCCCAGACUAGUGCUGUUUCAGUAUUUCCUUCAUUGCUUUAUUUGGUAUUCAUUCCUGCAUAUUCCAUAAGUCUGCUGGGAUAAUUGAAAGGGGAAAAAAAUGUAUGCUGCAGUAAAUACUUCUUGAAUGAGAAGAUGAUGGAACUGUGUUGUUACUCAAGUCCCUGUGUUUUGGGCAUGUUUGGUACACCAUAAAAUUAGGGGUGCACAAACUUACAAAGUAUUAAAAGAUAAAAAGGAUGUCUCAGCUUGGAAUUUGUCUUGUACCAGCUGGAGGGAGGCACAGAUACUCUCCCUGCACUUUCUCCCAGGCAGGCAGCUUGGAUCACUUCUCAUGACUACAUAAGCAAUGGAGGAAGUUCAAAAGAGGUCCACUAAGGACUCAGGUUGCCCUUGGUUACAAUUACAGGUAGAUAAAUUUAAAAAAAAAAAAAAAAAAAAAAAAAGAAACCUAGCUCAGUGUAUUUUUGGCAUCUUGAUACUGUGCUCUCUGCUCCUUGUGUCUUCCAAAUCUUGUAUGCUGCAAUCCACUGACAAAACCAAACUUUAUUACUGUCAGCACUUCAGAAUCAAUAUCAAUGCAGAAAAGCAAGCUGGAUUCCCCUGAGCCUCACGAAUCAGAACUUAAAUUGUCAAUUGGGUUAUGAUCCUGCAUCCUUUGUGGUGGAUGAUGCCUGGUAAUGACAACGGAAGAGUACAGCUUGAUUUAUAAUUACCAAAAUGAAUGAGCUUGCUGUGCUGACAGAUCAGAAAUGUAAUUCUGACCUGAAAUAAGAGUAUGACUGUGUAGCUAAGCCUUUUAAACAGAAGUUUUUCUCUUGUGAAUUGCCUUUCACAAACAAUGCACUUGUUUACUUGCUGAUAAGAUUUGUAACCUGAAUCAAUAUUACUCCGGCCUUUGUUUGAUGCAAGGAUGUAGAUACUAGUUACAACAGUGAAUCACUUGCAUGCUCAGAGCUCAAAUAACAUAAAUUAAGAGAAUCUGUGACCUUCACCAUUUCAAACCUAGUCCUACUCAGUUAGGAGAGAAUUGCAUUUUGACAACUGUAUGACCAUCUGUCUGAAAUGAGUGAUGUGAGCUCCCUGUGCAGUCACUAAAGUUUAGUUCCUAGGCUACUAUCAAAACCAUCACUGUUGAGCACUUCAUUUCCCAGCCUCAGGAGAUGGGAAUUACUGCAAAUGGGCACUGAGCCCAGCCCCUGCCUUACUCCUGCAAAUGGGUUAUGCAAAACCCUUGAAGGGCUGAGUCCUUGGCGAAGAAAGGAGGGACCUGCAGUAUGGUUUUAUAAAGCAAGAAAUCCUCUGCUGAGCAGUGCAGAAAUUGAGGACUUUUGUCAAAGUAAUGUCACAUCUAUAAUGUUCUUUCUGCAUAUAUACCACUCAGUCUGUCUAGAUGCUUUUUGUUUUAUAGUCUUGGAAAAGUGUACUUUUGCAUUUAUUGUCUUUUCCUAUGUACCUGUCUCAGGUUAGAUAUGAUGAUUUUAUAAUUGGUUUAUAACUGGAUUUGAAAAUUGUUGCAAUUAGGCUGCACACAUUACACCGUUCCUUGUUUAGAGAAGAUUAAACAACACUGAAAGAAAGCAUUUCACCUUUUGCGGAAUUCAUCAAGCACAUAGCUCGGAGUUGUACAGGGUACAAGAGAAAUUUCCCUUUGUCUUUGAGUCUCUACAACAAUUUCUCCAGAAAAAAUGUUCCUGUGCUGUGAUUUAUGCGCAUAGCUGAGCUCUUACAAGAACACUGUAUCUCUUCCCUAAGGUGUGCAGAAAGCUAUAUACUUCACACUUACAGUUAAGGUUCAGUGCUGGUAUUUUCACACAUUAUUAAUGCAGGUAGGAGAACUGAAAACUUGAAUGACUGUGCUGUCCUCUUCUGUCCCUGUAAGCCCACAAGCUGCAUGCAGUUAUGAACACAAAGGCAAGAGCAAUAAUACACCAGAGAACUGAAAGCUGCGAAGACUGAGAACUUCAUACAAAGAGAGAAAAUGAGUCUUCUGCUGUAAGCCUUAGUACAGACCAGAUUCAUCCUAUAAGAAAAGAACUAUCAUUGAUAUGGGUUUCAUUCCUUAUUCCUUAGAGCUGGGUUAUGAAGAAAGGUUACAGUGUAAGUCUAUAAAUAAGGAAUGUUCUUUCUAUCUGUAUGGAUUUGCUAGCAUUACUUUACGGCUUAAUACAGAAAAAGUUUUCAUACUGAGGAAAAACAUGGAAUGAGGAAAUGUGUAUACAGAACACUGGGUCACUUUGCUGGACUUACCAGUGAGGUUGUGCCUGAAAAGUUAACCAUGGCAUGACUCAUGCACAGAUGAAGCAGGAGAAAAUUGCUUAGGAUAUUUCUACCCUGUAUUCUUCUAGCUUUUGGUUUAUGGAUUGUGUUGAAAACUACAGUAUGAAAAUUAAGAGAGAGGACUGCAAAACCAAGUAGACAGUAUCUACCAGAUCUGAAAUGCCUUUCUUCCAAGGUUUUCAUAUCUGGCAUGGAUCAAGAGAAUGAGACAGUCAGAGGCUUGUUUCCAUUGCAAGUAAGGUUUGAUCACCACCUGGGUGUUGCUUCUCACUUGAAUCCUCACCGCAUGUGGAAAAUCCUUGCCUGACAGAGCUUCAAAUAGAGCUUGACUUUUUCAUGUGAGUGGUGCAGCAGAUAGAUCUAGUGACUGCAAACUGUCCAUUACUAUCCAGGCACUGUCAGUACCCCCAGUACUAUUUUGCAGUGGUUUUCCCCGAGAUGAGGUUAGCUUGGUGGAACUAGCUUCAUUUGAUGUUUAGGUGAUGCUACGGGCCCAAAGAACUACACUCAAGGCUUUAAUUGUGGUUCCAAACCAAAGAACAAAUUUAAAGGCUUUUUGGGUAUUAGUGUAUUAGUCUUUAGGUAUUUAGGUAUUAGUCUUUAGGAAAAGGAGAUCUUACUGUAUUUCAUAGGCAAAUUUAAUUGCAGCAUAAUACAAAAUUAUAUAAUCAUAGAUAAUUCAAUUAUUUGGAGACCUCAAAUCUUUUUGAAUUUAAUAUUUAGUCUGGCUCCUCAGUGAUCAGGUCUAACCCUUCAGGCGACAUUAAGGUAACUUGCAAAAGAUUUAGAAAGAUAUUUAAAAUUGUUCACUUGACACUCCAGGUGGCAACAUCAACAUAGCUGUCAGGAGCAUAGCAGAGCUUAGACUUAACCAUGCCUUUGUCCUUACUUUGUCAUUUGGACUUCAGAUUCUGAGGUCCAAAUAGCACAAACUAGCUUGUGGGAGGAUUAGCUCCCAAGGUUAAACUCAAUUGGAGGGCUGCAUGAGAAGUCAUCUUGACAAUAGCCAUAGUAAUGAAUCCCGUUCUUUUGUGGUAAUGUUUUGAAUCUUGAUUCAGAGAACCCAUCCUGAUGGGGUAUUUUGUGUGUAAAGCCUUUUAAAUGUUUUUAGCUGAUCUUUUUUUUAAAAGAACCUUGCACUGUAUGUUGCUGUAUUAUGUUCAAUCAAUGCUUUCCUCAUGCUUGAA